rnacentral:rRNA from 1 species
GGAAUAUUGCCCAAUGGGGGAAACCCUGAGGCAGCAAAGCCGCGUGGAUGAAGAAGACCUUCGGGUUGUAAAAUCCUUUUCUGAGGGAAGAAGAUGACGGUACCUCAGGAAUAAGUACCGGCUAACUACGUGCCAGCAGCCGCGGUAAAACGUAGGGGGCGAGCGUUAUCCGGAUUUACUGGGCGUAAAGCGCACGUAGGCGGCACUGAAAGUUGGAUGUGAAAGCUCCUGGCUUAACUGGGAGAGGUCGUUCAAAACUCCAGUGCUCGAGGACGGAAGAGGAGAGUAGAAUUCCCGGUGUAGUGGUGGAAUGCGUAGAUAUCGGGAGGAAUACCGGUGGCGAAGGCGACUCUCUGGUUCGUUACUGACGCUGAGGUGCGAAAGCGUGGGGAGCAAAC